AUUGAACGCUGGCGGCAUGCUUUACACAUGCAAGUCGAACGGCAGCGCGGGCUUCGGCCUGGCGGCGAGUGGCGAACGGGUGAGUAAUGCAUCGGAACGUGCCCAGUAGUGGGGGAUAGCCCGGCGAAAGCCGGAUUAAUGCCGCAUACGACCUGGGGGUGAAAGCGGGGGACCGAAAGGCCUCGCGCUAUUGGAGCGGCCGAUGUCGGAUUAGCUAGUUGGUGGGGUAAAGGCUUACCAAGGCGACGAUCCGUAGCUGGUCUGAGAGGACGACCAGCCACACUGGGACUGAGACACGGCCCAGACUCCUACGGGAGGCAGCAGUGGGGAAUUUUGGACAAUGGGGGCAACCCUGAUCCAGCCAUGCCGCGUGCGGGAAGAAGGCCUUCGGGUUGUAAACCGCUUUUGUUCGGGAAGAAAUCCUCUGGGCUAAUACCCCGGGGGGAUGACGGUACCGGAAGAAUAAGCACCGGCUAACUACGUG
rnacentral:rRNA from 1 species